rnacentral:rRNA from 1 species
CGCAUCUGUGCAUGCAGCAUAUCAAUAAGCGGAGGAAAAGAAACUAACAAGGAUUCCCCUAGUAACGGCGAGUGAAGCGGGAAGAGCUCAAAUUUGAAAUCUUAAAGGGUCUCCCUUUACGAAUUGUAGUUUAAAGAAGUGUUUUCUGUUGAGGUUUUGGUAAAAGUUCUUUGGAAUAGGACAUCAUAGAGGGUGAGAAUCCCGUAUUUGACCUUUACUUUCAACUUUGUGAUACACUUUCAAAGAGUCGGAUUGUUUGGGAAUGCAGUCCAAAAUGGGUGGUAAAUUUCAUCUAAAGCUAAAUAUUGGCGAGAGACCGAUAGCGAACAAGUACCGUGAGGGAAAGAUGAAAAGAACUUUGAAAAGAGAGUUAAACAGUACGUGAAAUUGUCAAAAGGGAAGCGUUUGACACCAGUGUUGUUUUUCUGAAAAUCAAUUAAAGAACUGUUUAUGCUAAGUUGUUUAGACUUUAUCAGCUAACUGUUUAGUUUUGAGCUUUUCUUUAAUGCACUUUUCAGUUAACAAGUCAACAUCAAUUUCUUUUGCUGUAAAAAAGCUUGAGGAAGGUGGCUUGAGAUUCGUCUUAAGUGUUUAUAGCCUCUUGCCUAUGCAGUCGGAGAGAUUGAGGUCUGCAGCGUAGAUCCUUCGGGGCUAAGUGCAUUUGUGCUAAGUUAUAGCAUUUUAUAGACAACUUGUUGACUAUGAUUUGUCUUGUAGCUUACUCGCUUAUGUUAUUUUACCUACGCUUAGGAUGUUGAACGCGCACAGAGUCUC